AUUGAACGCUGGCGGCAGGCCUAACACAUGCAAGUCGAGCGGUAGCACAGAGAGCUUGCUCUCGGGUGACGAGCGGCGGACGGGUGAGUAAUGUCUGGGAAACUGCCUGAUGGAGGGGGAUAACUACUGGAAACGGUAGCUAAUACCGCAUAACGUCGCAAGACCAAAGUGGGGGACCUUCGGGCCUCAUGCCAUCAGAUGUGCCCAGAUGGGAUUAGCUGGUAGGUGGGGUAACGGCUCACCUAGGCGACGAUCCCUAGCUGGUCUGAGAGGAUGACCAGCCACACUGGAACUGAGACACGGUCCAGACUCCUACGGGAGGCAGCAGUGGGGAAUAUUGCACAAUGGGCGCAAGCCUGAUGCAGCCAUGCCGCGUGUGUGAAGAAGGCCUUCGGGUUGUAAAGCACUUUCAGCGGGGAGGAAGGCGGUGAGGUUAAUAACCUCAUCGAUUGACGUUACCCGCAGAAGAAGCACCGGCUAACUCCGUGCCAGCCGCCGCGGUAA
rnacentral:rRNA from 1 species